rnacentral:rRNA from 1 species
GACAGAGGGUGCAAACGUUGUUCGGAAUUACUGGGCGUAAAGCGUGUGUAGGCGGCCUCGCAAGUCGGAUGUGAAAGCCCCGGGCUCAACCCGGGAAGUGCACUCGAUACUGCUUGGCUAGAGUCUCGGAGAGGUUGGUGGAAUUCUCGGUGUAGAGGUGAAAUUCGUAGAUAUCGAGAGGAACACCGGUGGCGAAGGCGGCCAACUGGACGAAGACUGACGCUGAGACACGAAAGCGUGGGGAGCAAACAGG